rnacentral:lncRNA from 1 species
GGUGCAGCACUUAGUGGGUCUGCAGGAGUCGCUUACCCUUCUCCUCCUGUUCUUUGCAGCUUGCUUUCACAGCCUUGAGGGCAGGAUAGGCCACACAUAAGUGUGACAUGCAGCAGAAUGAAAUGCCUUUUAUCAUCAAGAGUCACAGCCUUAAGCUCAGAGGACUGGGAAUCUCUCCCACAAUCCGGAAGGCAGGACAUCCAGAAGGCAGCUUCAUGGAGGAGUGAGAUCAAGCUGGGCAGUGAAGGCAGAGAGGACUUUUCAGGUAGGAAGUGGUCUUAGAGGAGAAGAAGGCUGCACCUGAGCAAAGGCCUGUAGGUGGAGAGAAGGAAAAGGGUUUUUCCUUCUUAGUUACACAAGCAGGUUUGAAGGAUUCCAGCGGGCUCUGGACUUACCCCUAUCCUCCCUACCCCACCAGCCUAGUUGAGCCUUCCUCUCAGUAAGGGAUGCCAGCGUCUUUUGGCUCCUUCUCCAGCCCUCCAGAUCACCCCCUCUUUCUCGAAAUGCUUUCCUUGCCUCCUUGACACCUGGCUCUUUCUAUUUUUCUCCUCUCCUUAGGCUGUUUCUCCUUGUCUCCGCCAAUUCUUCUUUCAGCUCCUGAAGAGUUUCCAAGGGAGAGGACUUGGCAGCUGUCUGCAUAUGAUGUCCUUGUGCAAACCUGCGAUUGAGAUCCCAGGGAAGGGGCUGUCAGCAGUUGAAGGGGUGACUAGCCCUGUGAAUGUACGCUUAAGUUUUGGUGCCUUCUGGAUGUCCCCAGGCAGGAAUCUCUGCCUUCUC